CAUAGGCAAUAAUACUUUGGGGUACAUCAGUUGCCGUGAUCUCCUCUAGAUAUGCAAUUAGAUCACUCAUGUUAUGGAAAUUUGUAUGAAAACGAAACUUUUAUCCUAUGGAAGUCCAUUAGGUAUAAGCUAUGGGACGCUGAAUCAUAUAAUAUGUUCCUCAUGCUCUUCCACUUCAUUGCAUAAAUCACCUGUACCAUCUAGUAAAUGAAGUCCUUUUUGAGCAAGGUUCAUCUUGUGUGGCAAUUUUCUCUAAGCUAAUUUCCACCAAAAUAUUCUUGCAUUAUGGACUACCUUAAGUUUCCAUAUCCAUCUAGAAUCUC
rnacentral:lncRNA from 1 species